rnacentral:rRNA from 1 species
AAUUUUGGACAAUGGGGUUAACCCUGAUCCAGCCAUCCCGCUAGUAUGAUGAAUGCCUUCGGUUUGUAAAGUACUUUUGGCAGAGAAGAAAAGGUAUCUCCUAAUACGAGAUACUGCUGACGGUAUCUGCAUAAUCAGCACCGGCUAACUACGUGCCAGCAUCAGCGGUAAUACGUAGGGUGCAAGCGUUAAUCGGAAUUACUGGGCGUAAAGCGUGUGUAGGCGGUUCGGAAAGAAAGAUGUGAAAUCCCAGGGCUCAAACUUGGAACUGCAUUUUUAACUGCAGAGCUAGAGUAUGUCAGAGGGGGGUAGAAUUCCACGUGUAGCAGUGAAAUGCGUAGAUAUGUGGAGGAAUACCGAUGGCGAAGGCAGCCCCCUGGGAUAAUACUGACGCUCAGACACGAAAGCGUGGGGAGCAAACA